UAAAUGGGAUCAAAAAAAUAUUGGUCUCUUGCCGUUGACUACCGUUCAUAUUUUUCCCGAAAUAAGGUCCACCGGAAGGGGCAGGACGUCUUGUCUUGUAACUGACAAUGUAAAAGUUAGUCAUUGUUUUUAAUGGUUUCUCCUUUACACUUCACAGAGCCAUUUUUGUAACAUUUACAGGUCUGUAAUUUCCCUCCAUUAGUUGUACAGGAGUUUCUUGCCAAGUUAGUGUCUAAUUUAUUAGUUUCCCGGAAAGAAAUAUGUAAUUUGGUAAUAAUAAUGGGGAAAAUUGGAAUUGAAAAUAACAGAUUAAUUACAGUAAAGUGUUACCACAAUUCUUUUUAACAUACCCUGGAAUCUCAUGGGUAUGAUAGUUAUCGGUUAUAGAGAGGCGAAGUCCUGCCCCUUCCGGUGGACAUUAUUUCGGAAAAAAAAACUGAACGAUAUUCAACGGCGAGAGACAAAUAAUAAUUUUUGAUCCCAUUUAAAUUGCUCUAUGAAUCACACAUCUGAUGUUUGUCAAUGUAAAAGAUCAUUUUGCAAGUCAAGAAAGUCUCAGUUUGUUGUAGUGUUAUUUAGUUA